rnacentral:rRNA from 1 species
UACGUAGGGUGCGAGCGUUGUCCGGAUUUAUUGGGCGUAAAGGGCUCGUAGGCGGCGUGUCGCGUCGGGGAGUGAAAGCCCGCUGCUUAACGGCGGGUUGGCUUCCGGUACGGGCAUCGCUGGAGUGCGGCAGGGGGAGACUGGAAUUCCUGGUGUAGCGGUGGAAUGCGCAGAUAUCAGGAGGAACACCGGUGGCGAAGGCGGGUCUCUGGGCAAUAACUGACGCUGAGGAGCGAAAGCGUGGGGAGCGAACAGG